AAUGUGAAUUGCAGAAUUCAGUGAAUCAUCGAAUCUUUGAACGCACCUUGCGCCCUUUGGUAUUCCGAGGGGCAUGCCUGUUUGAGUGUCAUUAACAA
rnacentral:rRNA from 1 species